AGAGUUUGAUCCUGGCUCAGAUUGAACGCUGGCGGCAUGCCUUACACAUGCAAGUCGAACGGCAGCGCGGGAGCAAUCCUGGCGGCGAGUGGCGAACGGGUGAGUAAUAUAUCGGAACGUGCCCUGUAGCGGGGGAUAACCUAUCGAAAGAUGGACUAAUACCGCAUACUCUCUACGGAGGAAAGCGGGGGUCGCAAGACCUCGCACUACAGGAGCGGCCGAUAUCGGAUUAGCUAGUUGGCGGGGUAAAAGCCCACCAAGGCUACGAUCCGUAGCUGGUCUGAGAGGAUGAUCAGCCACACUGGAACUGAGACACGGUCCAGACUCCUACGGGAGGCAGCAGUGGGGAAUUUUGGACAAUGGGCGCAAGCUGAUCCAGCCAUGCCGCGUGAGUGAAGAAGGCCUU
rnacentral:rRNA from 1 species